CUACAGUGUGCAUUUGCCUUAUGGUGCACUUCAGGCCACUAAUCUGAGGGACUAUGAGCUAGACUCAGCUUUCCAGACCUGGAUUCAGAGAUAACCCGGCACACCAUGGCCCCAUCUUAGCUCCAGCAAAAGCUGUGCUUUUUCAGCAGAGGACAUCAAACAGCUCUGUUGAAAAAUGUGAGACUUUGGAGGACCUCAUCUACCGGGUACUGGACAAACACUGUCACAAUGGAGGAAAAAUUAGCAUCCACUCACGAUUUGUAGCAAUGAGCUGCUGACACCACCCAUCGGUCAUGGAUGAGGGACCCGCCACAGAAGUGGUGCCCAUUAUUCAGAGAUACCUGGUAGGGGACAGAGUUCUUCCUGCAGUCAUAGCCUCCCACAAUCUUAUCGUCGUCAUCUCCAGAGGCAGCGGCUGAUGACAGCAGGGAAAUCAGGAAACACGUCUCCUGAAGCUUCUUGAAGAGGAAAACUGCAGCUGUAGCUUUGCAGGCUGCUGCUUGUGUAUUCUGAGUCCUUAUCCCAAUGUAAACACCAAGGGGAAUGGAUCGACAAGUGGACAAACAAACAGAAAGGACUGCCCAUUCCUGCUCGUGGCAUGCAGGGAAGACAGAUGUGACAUUUCCCCAGCUCCAAGCAGUAAAAUGGCAUUACGACACAAAAUCAGACCUGGUCAGGCACAACAGGCCUGCGGGCACAAGGGCUUCCAACACUGCUGGGAGAAAAUAAUGCACUUCAGAAUCUAGAUUUGCACUCCACUGUGGCCAGGUUUGGUUCAUCCAUGGGACAUUCCUAUUUUUUUUUUUGGGCUUUGGUCAGGAGUCUGUCAGAAGAUAGAGUGUGGUUGGAAAUGGGUUAGAAACUAUCUCUUCCUAUUCUGUAAAAUCUUUUCAGGUAGACUUCCACUGCAAUGUAUGCCUGCCAUUUGGCGCCCUUCGGUCUACACAGCUGGAGUGCUCCUGCAAUAAAAACACCAAUGACCAGAACA